UACGUAGGGCGCAAGCGUUGUCCGGAAUUAUUGGGCGUAAAGAGCUCGUAGGUGGCUUGUCGCGUCUGCCGUGAAAGCCCGUGGCUUAACUACGGGUCUGCGGUGGAUACGGGCAGGCUAGAGGCUGGUAGGGGCAAGCGGAAUUCCUGGUGUAGCGGUGAAAUGCGCAGAUAUCAGGAGGAACACCGGUGGCGAAGGCGGCGUGCUGGGCCAGUUCUGACGCUGAGGAGCGAAAGCGUGGGGAGCGAACAGG
rnacentral:rRNA from 1 species